rnacentral:rRNA from 1 species
UCCUACGGGAGGCAGCAGUGGGGAAUUUUGCGCAAUGGACGAAAGUCUGACGCAGCAACGCCGCGUGAAGGAUGAAGGCCCUUGGGUCGUAAACUUCUGUCAGUGGGGAAGAAAUGCCCGCAAGGGAGCUGACGGUACCCACAAAGGAAGCACCGGCUAACUCCGUGCCAGCAGCCGCGGUAAUACGGAGGGUGCAAGCGUUGUUCGGAAUUAUUGGGCGUAAAGCGCGUGUAGGCGGUCUGUUAAGUCUGGUGUGAAAGCCCUGGGCUCAACCCAGGAAGUGCAUUGGAUACUGGCAGACUUGAGUAUGGGAGAGGAAAGUGGAGUUCCGAGUGUAGGAGUGAAAUCCGUAGAUAUUCGGAGGAACACCAGUGGCGAAGGCGGCUUCCUGGACCAAUACUGACGCUGAGACGCGAAAGCGUGGGGAGCAAACAGGAUUAGAUACCCGGGUAG